CAGAGUUCAUGCCCUCACGGGUAGAUCUCCCACCCUUGAAUACUAUACCUUUGUUGCUUUGGCGGGCCGCUUCGGCUACCGGCUCUGGCUGGUAAGUGCCCGCCAAAGGACCCAUAAACUCUGAAUAUUAGUGUUGUCUGAGUACUAUAUAAUAGUUA
rnacentral:misc_RNA from 1 species